CGCGCGCGCGUGUUUCCUCUGCUCCUUUUGAGCCAUUGUGCUUAACUGAAUUUUAUAACGCUGAUCGAUAUCUUGGUAAAAUAUUCAUUUUUAAACUAGCGGGCAGUGAAAUCUUUGCUUUGUGCUAAAGUCAACAGUCGCUCCAAUAAAUGCAGCGAUGCCUUUCCGCGGAAUUGCAGACGGUGGGGUAUCUGGCUUGUCAUCUGCGAUCUGCAGCUCUCUGGCAUCAGGUGCCUGUUGUGAAGCCAGCUCACAUUCACAGUACUCCAGACCCUCAUGCCAGACACAAGAUAUACAUUCGUUCAACUCAGACAUAGAAUCGACAUCUUCAUGAGGAAGAGAUACCUUCAAGAGUCAGAUUUCCCCCAGCCCCUCCAUCUCAGCUGGAGAAAGAAAAGUUUUGAUUCUUUGAAAACAGAGGCUUAAACUGAGUCUGGGAUAACAAAAAGAAGAGAAUGUCCUUAAAAGUUGGACUCUACAAGAAGCUGAAAAAGUUCAACCUAUGUGGCUUGGAUUGCAUGGGUCUUCCACAGCUAAAUAUUAUUUGGGGGGAAGAAAUGGGAAGGACACACACGACAGUAUCUAUUUUCAUAUGACCAUCACCUUGUUCCUACAGUCAGGCUGUAAUGUGGAAUUUCUGAAAUGAUGACAGCGACAACCCUGAGCCCAGAAAUGUUAGUGUUUCUCUUUCCGUUUGGUGAUACCUUGUGAACUGCUCAGGAUUCACUGUAAGUGCUUUAUAUUUAGCCAGUAUAAUCUAUAGUAUAGUUAGGCUGGCAAUUUGAGGAGAAAAAAAGCAGCAGAAUAGGUGAAAAGAAACGGGUGGGGGGAAAAGAACAAAAAGGGGAAAUGUUAUUGAUAAACAUAUUCUGGACAUUUGGUGCACAUUUUGGCUGCUCCAGCUUAAAGCAAUUAAUUCACUAUACUGACAUUAACUCUCUAGCAUGUUGACAGCUUGGAGCUGGAAGUAAAAAUGCUAGUUCUCCAGGGAAAAGAGAAGGCUAGUUGGCUCUUUUUCUGGACUGUUUGCUUAUAGGCCCAGAGAGCAAUCUUCCUUGCAGAAUGAAAUGCAAGGACACAAACAAUGUACCAGGGAGAGAAUAGAAGAUGGGAAUGAACAGUUUGAACUAUUUGCUCAGCAGAAGGGCAGCCACAAUUGCCGGCCAAUGGCUUUCCCAUGCAUCAGCCAGGGCUUCUUAGCCUCCUUUGUUGUGGUGGUUCUUCCUCGAGCCAGAUAAGAACACAGCUGCAGCAAUUCCAGCUAACCUGGGGCCUGGGUUUAUUCACCAAAGUCUCCAUUCAUGCUUACUGUACUGUAUUUAUUUACUGUCAGUGUUUCUGGCCCAUUUUUUAAAAAUGGAUUUAGUAUUUCCACACCCCACCCCCAGAUCUCAAGCCAAAUUCUGCUGAAAAUUUUAAAUACUCCACCAGCUAUCUGCUAUUUUGAUGAAUAGUUCCCACUUCCUGUACUUUCUCAACGCGAUGGAAGAAGUUACAGACUGAAAUCACUUAGAGAAUGUUCUCCACUUUGAGUUCAAUUGAUUUUAAUAGCUUAGUACUGCACAAUCUCUCCCCUUGUAUUCAGGUAGAUUUUGCUUCCUUGGAGCUAUAUCAGUUCUGCAUUGCAUGUUUAUUCAGAAAUAAAUUGCAUUUUGUUCAGUGGUGUUUACAUUCAAAUAAAUAUGUUUAGCACUGUGGACUUAAAGCUUUCAAGUUUGGAUAGACAAGAUUCAAAAUAAGGCUCCUAUAUAAGCAAUAUGUUUUAAGGACAUGCUGUAGCUACUUUUUUUAAUACUUGAUGACAAUGAAAUAAAAUCCUUCUCAGAGAAAAUAUAGUGUAGUAAUUUUAUUCUCUGAUAUUUUACUUCCUGCUCAGCCAUUUUCAGUGUUGGAAGGGCAGUUUUGGUAUGCCUUCAUAGUGAAGUGGGAUAGAGAACCCACAGAUACAAUGAUUCAAAUAUGCAAAGAACCAAUAGCAUUGAAUAUGACAACCCCUACAUGUACAUGUGUAAAAGGCAACAUUCACUAAUAAAGGAUAUCUGCUGUAUUGCUAGAUUCAUUCUGGAGUUCACAGCAUAUCAAUAUAUUGUUAAUAUGAUAAAAUAAUGCACAGGGUUUGUAGAUGGAUAUUUUUUAUUUAUUUUAUUUAUUGAAAAAAGUAUAAAUGUUUAUAUGAAUGUUGAUUCCAUCUGAAACAUGCAGCAGGCCAUCAGUAAGUAAAGUACCUACCUUACCGUACAUAUUUACUUAUAUUUACUUUAGAGUGAUUGAUGUAUUUUGCCUUUUAGACAUUUAACUCUGUGAUCCUUUGUACCACUAUUACAAAUAACAAGCAUGAAAUGCUUGCAGUAGCAAUUUUUCAGCAAGUCUGCUGCACUGAAGACCUGAUCUCUACUUCCAACAAUAUGCAAAGCUUUAUUUCUUUAUUUUUAAACUAUGGACUGUUUGAUAUUACAAGUUAAAACAAAGGCACAAUGAAAGCCUGGACAUCAUUCCCAGGAAAUGCAGUCACAUGUAUUAGAUAUUUUGGUGAGUAACAAUAAGAGCUAAUAAAAAAUAGGGCCAGAGAAUCCUUUUUGGAAUGAAGGAAGAAUAAUGGAAAUGAUGAUCCAUUGUGCAAAAUGCACAUCAUGGCUACUAACUUUAAUUAAACCAAUUCCAGAAAGAUUUGUGUUGAUGCUCAAGUGUACUUUGAAAACGCCAUUCAAAUGUUUCCGAAUCACUGACCUUAAAACUUCAAAAAGUUUUUGCAGCUUAUAUAUAUCAACAUAGUGCACUUAUUAAAAAUGUCAAGUCUCUGCUUCAGUUCCAUAUUUGUAUGUGUCUAUGUAUGUAUAAUUUCUUUAGUUUAAAUUUAAAUUUCAAAUGCUAUGCUUUUUUCUCUAAAAAGCUACUUUUGUCAAAAUGUUAGUUUAAAUGAGAUGAAAUGAUUAUCUAAGGUGAAAAGACAUGUUUAAAGGGGGGAAAAAACCCAGCAUCACAUAAUGAUUUGUUGUGAUCAUGUUGAACAUGUCAGCAAAGGAUCAGCCCCAUAGGAAACAAAGUUUACACAGUUUUUUUCCAGAGUGAAAUUGCCCUAACCUCAGGGAUUUUUCUUCUACUGGGUGGUCAGGAGGAAAGGCUGAAAGGCAAAAGGGCUCCUAUUGUCUCAGAUGAAUCCUAAGAACUGACCUCACGUGCCUCUAAAAAGAAGAAAGCACCUGUUUAUCUCCAGUCAUCCCCUGCUUUGGUGAGCUCCAUGCUGCCACCACCAAGACAGAGCCUUCUGCUGGGGGAAAAGAAGUCUCUCUAAAAGUGCUUUGAAAAACACUUCAGCCUGGGUCCAAUUACAGAUAUGCACAACAAUGCAUGGAGAUCUCAAGAUUGACUCAGGAUGCUCAUUUGUAAACCUUCUGGAAAUGCUUAGCUCACCCAGAGCAGGAAAUGUGAAUAGGAGCCGUACUGAAGAUCAGACUGCAAGGGCAAUGCGCAUCCAGAUGUGCACGCACACGUGUGUUUCUCCUGUUUGGGGUUUUAUGUGUGUAGGUUUCUCAGUCAACUAACCUCACCAAAAGGCAGGUGUGCACCCUGCACAACUGAAAAUUUUAUUUCCACCCUUUUUUAGGCAGGUGUGUACGUGCAUGAAGGAGGAAGGGAGAGAAACUCUGAGCGUAACAGCUUUUUAAAUAAAAAAAAUCAACGUUCUGUGGAAUUGGCCAUCAUCAGCAACAAAUACCAAAGGACAGUGGUUCUCAGAUGAACUAUCUUCCUCAUCUUUGUGCCUCUGUAGGGAUUAUAAAAGCUGAAGUCCAAUUUAUCCAGAGGGCACCAGGUUAGGGAAGGCUGCAUCGCUCUACUAAUCCUGCUAUCUCUCUUAAGCAACGUGAACAAUGCUUGGAGCCCUGCCCUGGGAGCCUAAGCUUCCCCAGACUCUCCCCCAAGUCUCAGCCAUUUUCUGCCUCCUCCCAGAUCUUCAUAUAAUUCAAGACCAGGAGAAAGAAAACACUCUCCUGGUUGACAAGGGAAGGAAAGUGAGUUGUUUGUGAAGAAAGAGAACUAUCAUAGAAUAAAAGCUGAAUGGAGGGGAAGCAUGGGAAUAGGAGAAAGCGUGGGAAGAGAAGGGCAUGCACAGAGAAAGUGUGGAGGAGAGGAGGUGGAUGGAAGCAAGUUGGAGAACAGGGUAGAUAAAACGGUUGUAAAAGUUUGUGUGGACAGGUGUGGAAGAGGGAGGGAGAGAAGAGAAGGGAGUGUUUAGGGCAUAUUGCACAUUCCUGAGAGAAAAGUGAACUAGGCAUAUUUUUGUGGAAGGAAGGAAGGAAGGAAGGAAGGAAGGAAGGAAGGAAGGAAGGAAGGAAGGAAGGAAGGGGCAAAUGAUUGCAUACUGAAUAAACGAAAGCCGAGGGAUCUGCCGGGGGAGGGGGAUGAUGAAAGCAGCAUCAUGUCAUUGUGAUGCAAGCUCCCUGCUUUUGUGUGGGCAUGAUGAUGUCACAGUUUGAUGAAAGCCUCCAAACCUGUGGAUGUUUCUGAAGUGGAAAACAGUGCCAUUCCUACUGACCUGAGACUUUAAUUCUGCCCAUAUUGGGGUAGGACCUGACUAUCUUUAAGAGAUGUAGGGAUUACCGAGAUGGCUUUGAAGAAAGCAUUGAACAGCUGUUGAGGGAAUGAGGAAGAAACUCAAGAUUGCCUGCCUCGGUAUACGAGGUGGGGAGAGAAUGCCUGUCAAGCUUUAAAGAUUUUGUUAUUAUACCCUGCAAUAAUAAAGUAGAAUUACAGUAGUCCUUGUGGAGUCAGUUUCCAGAUCUGGCCUACCUUGCAGGGUUGACAGGAUGUAGCUCCAUGCCUCUUUCUCCCAAGGGAAUAUGGCCUUGUAGCCAACUGCUAAUGUUUGAAGGAAGAAAUAGAUAUUUAUUAACCCCCAAUGUUGUAACAAAUUUGUUUUUUUUUGAAUGCUGGGUAUUUUAAUCAAUGCAAACUCUAACCUGUUUUUAAAUUUUUUAUCUGCUGUUUUGUCUCUGUUACUGUGUGGUAUUUGUCUGUCCUUGAGUUGGAGGUCAGAGGUCUCCUGUGUGAUGGAAGAACUAUCUGUACUUUGGUGCCUGCUGAUGGUUCUCAUGAAUGAGAAAGUCAGGACGGAGUCAUUUGGAAGGGCUGGCUGGGUUGAUGUUGCCCUCAUUCUACGGGUACUCCACCUCAACAUGCAUAAAAAAAGUGCACUAGAGCUGGUGUACUUUAUUCCUUCCCACUGCAUUCAAUGAAAUUUUUUUAAAAAAGGAGAAAAGGCUGUCAGCCAUUACAAGUUGGAAAAGUUUUGGAUGGGAUCAUGGCCACAGUGCAUUUAACCAGUUAAAGGUUUGCACUUGGAUAAUCUGAGAAGAAAGAAGAAAUAAAUGCAUUUCUACUACUGGUGCCUUAAGAAGCAAAAGCGAAAGGAAUCUGAACCUGUCCAAGUCUGUCAAAAGUGAGUUGGUUGCUUUUGAAGGGAGAAUAAAAGAAAGGUUCGCAAAGAUGAAAGAGGAGAUGAAAGAAGAAGUUAUGAAAAGAGUUGAAGAAUCUAAAAGGCAUCUUAUGGGAGAAGUUAAACAAAUCAAUGACAAAGGGGAAAUUUUAGAAAGUAAAAUAGAAAUAAUAAACUGAAAGAAAGAAAAGUACUUAGACAAUUUGGCAUUACUGGAAUUGAGAGAAGAAGAAUUCUGCCUGAGAUUUAGAGCAGUUCCAGAGGAUCCUGGAGAAUGCACUAGAGAAAAGAUUGUUCAAUCCCUAACAAUUUUUUUGGAACAGGAUGAAGACGAUAUGGAGGCAGAAGUUGACACAGUCUAUAGAAUCAACACGCGAUUUGCAAAACUAAGAAAUGUACCAAGGGGUAUUCAUCUGUACUUGGUCAGAAAGAAGACCAGAGAUCAAGUUUUGCAGCAGCAUUUCACUACCAGACUGAAGAAUAAUAAUGCAGAUGUGACUAUCCUUAAAGAAAUUCCAAUUAGAAUACUGCGUAAACAAAAAGAGUACUUCUUUUUGACUGACAAACUCAAUCAGAAAAAGGAAGGAGUGAUCAUGAACAGAGGUUCAGGCUGAAUUCAGUCCAAAAAAUAAAGAGAAUUUCUGGAAAAGUUUAAAGGGGAACUGGAAGAAAUGCAAACGGAAGUGACAAAAAGCUCUGACCCCUAAACAGCUACAAUAAGAAACGGAGGAGACUACCACGCCAGGCACUACAGGUAUCGACUUUUCUAUGUUUUGGCAUAAAUAUGGAUUUUAAAUGCGCAUCGUGGGAUAUAAAUGGAGCAAAUGCUCCUCAAGAAAGAAAAAAAAAAUCAUCACUGUAUUAAAAAAAAUUGAAACAAGAUGUAGUUUGUCUUGAAGAAAUGCACAUUAGAAAAAAGGAUAUAAAAUAUUUGAUCUGCAAAAAUUUGGGUGAAGAAUUUAUUUCAGGGGGAAUUAAAAAGAGAAAUGGAGUUGUUUUGUAUAUAAACCCCAAAAUGUAACCAGAACUGAUACUGACUGAGUAUGGUAGAUAUGUUGGGGGUGGAAGCUACUUUGCUGGGAGCCAAGACUUUGAUAAUGGGAAUUUAUGCUCCAAAUGAGCAUAAAGUAACUUUUUACAAAGGAUUUAUGGGCGAACUAAUGGACUUACCAUAUGAAAAUUAGUAUUUAAUGGGAGGUUGGAAAGGAACAAAAGGACAGAACCUCUGAGAAAGAUAUUAAAACAACACAAGGUAAAUUACCAAAAGUUUUUUUAUAUGAUAGACAAUCUGGAGCAUGUAGAUGCAUAGACAUAUAAAAAUGGUGAUG